rnacentral:rRNA from 1 species
UGUCAGCAGCCGCGGUAAUACGGAGGGUGCAAGCGUUAUCCGGAUUUAUUAGGUUUAAAGGGUCCGUAGGCGGGGAAUUAAGUCAGUGGUGAAAUACUGCAGCUCAACUGUAGCAUUGCCAUUGAUACUGAUUUUCUUGAGUUUGAUUGAGGUAGGCGGAAUGAGAAGUGUAGCGGUGAAAUGCGUAGAUAUUUCUCAGAACACCAAUUGCGAAGGCAGCUUACUAAGUCAAAACUGACGCUGAGGGACGAAAGCGUGGGUAGCGAACAGGAUUAGAUACCCUGGUAGUCCACGCUGUAAACGAUGAUUACUCGUUGUUGGCGAUAUACAGUCAGCGACUGAGCGAAAGCAUUAAGUAAUCCACCUGGGGAGUACGCCGGCAACGGUGAAACUCAAAGAAAUUGACGG